rnacentral:rRNA from 1 species
GGAGGUACUCGAGUGGCGAACGGGUGAGUAACACGUGGGUGAUCUGCCCUGCACUCUGGGAUAAGCCUGGGAAACUGGGUCUAAUACCGGAUAGGACCAUGCUUUAGUGUGUGUGGUGGAAAGUUUUUCGGUGUAGGAUGAGCCCGCGGCCUAUCAGCUUGUUGGUGGGGUAAUGGCCUACCAAGGCGGCGACGGGUAGCCGGACUGAGAGGUUGGUCGGCCACAUUGGGACUGAGAUACGGCCCAG